GACAGAGGAGCCAAGCGUUGUCCGGACUGACUGGGCGUAAAGCGCACGCAGGCGGUGCGGUAAGUGCGGUGUGAAAGCGGCCGCUCAACCGGUUGAGGCCAUCGCCAGACUGCCGCACUCGAGCCCUGCAGAGGGUGGUGGAAUUGCCGGUGUAGUGGUGAAAUGCGUAGAGAUCGGCAGGAACACCAAGGGGGAAGCCAGCCACCUGGGCAGGCUGGCUGACGCUCAGACGCGAAAGCUAGGGGAGCAACGGG
rnacentral:rRNA from 1 species